rnacentral:rRNA from 1 species
CAGCCGCCACGGUAAUACGGAGGGGGCUAGCGUUGUUCGGAAUUACUGGGCGUAAAGCGCACGUAGGCGGCUUGGUAAGUUAGAGGUGAAAGCCCGGAGCUCAACUCCGGAAUUGCCUUUAAGACUGCCGAGCUAGUAGGUGAGAGAGGUAAGUGGAAUUCCGAGUGUAGAGGUGAAAUUCGUAGAUAUUCGGAAGAACACCAGUGGCGAAGGCGGCUUACUGGCUCAUUCUAGACGCUGAGGUGCGAAAGCGUGGGGAGCAAACAGGAUUAGAUACCCCCGUAGUCCCUGUCUCUUAUAC